rnacentral:rRNA from 1 species
GACGAACGCUGGCGGCGUGGAUUAGGCAUGCAAGUCGAACGGUAGUAUCCUUUCGGGGAUAUGAGAGUGGCGAACGGGUGAGUAACACGUAGGUAAUCUACCCUCAAAUCGGGGACAACCCAGGGAAACUUGGGCUAAUACCGGAUGAGUGCGCCCUCGGGUGCAUAAAAGGUGGCGUAAGCUGCUGUUUGGGGAUGAGCCUGCGCUCUAUUAGUUAGUUGGUGAGGUAACGGCUUACCAAGGCGAUGAUAGAUAGGCGGCCUUAACGGGUGGUCGCCCACACUGGGAUUGAGAUACGGCCCAGACUCCUACGGGAGGCAGCAGUCGAGAAUAGUCUACAAUGGACGAAAGUCUGAUAGUGCGACGCCGCGUGAACGAAGAAGCCCUUCGGGGUGUAAAGUUCUUUUAUAUGUGAGCAAUGCUUCUUAUAUGAAUAGUAUGAGGAGAGAGAUAUUAGCAUAUGAAUAAGCAACGGCUAACUCCGUGCCAGCAGCCGAC